rnacentral:rRNA from 1 species
GAUGAACGCUGGCGGCGUGCCUAAUACAUGCAAGUCGAGCGAACGGACGAGAAGUUUGCUUCUCUGAUGUUAGCGGCGGACGGGUGAGUAACACGUGGAUAACCUACCUAUAAGACUGGGAUAACUUCGGGAAACCGGAGCUAAUACCGGAUAAUAUUUUGAACCGCAUGGUUCAAAAGUGAAAGACGGUCUUGCUGUCACUUAUAGAUGGAUCCGCGCUGCAUUAGCUAGUUGGUAAGGUAACGGCUUACCAAGGCAACGAUGCAUAGCCGACCUGAGAGGGUGAUCGGCCACACUGGAACUGAGACACGGUCCAGACUCCUACGGGAGGCAGCAGUAGGGAAUCUUCCGCAAUGGGCGAAAGCCUGACGGAGCAACGCCGCGUGAGUGAUGAAGGUCUUCGGAUCGUAAAACUCUGUUAUUAGGGAAGAACAUAUGUGUAAGUAACUGUGCACAUCUUGACGGUACCUAAUCAGAAAGCCACGGCUAACUACGUGCCAGCAGCCGCGGUAAUACGUAGGUGGCAAGCGUUAUCCGGAAUUAUUGGGCGUAAAGCGCGCGUAGGCGGUUUUUUAAGUCUGAUGUGAAAGCCCACGGCUCAACCGUGGAGGGUCAUUGGAAACUGGAAAACUUGAGUGCAGAAGAGGAAAGUGGAAUUCCAUGUGCAGCGGUGAAAUGCGCAGAGAUAUGGAGGAACACCAGUGGCGAAGGCGACUUUCUGGUCUGUAACUGACGCUGAUGUGCGAAAGCGUGGGGAUCAAACAGGAUUAGAUACCCUGGUAGUCCACGCCGUAAACGAUGAGUGCUAAGUGUUAGGGGGUUUCCGCCCCUUAGUGCUGCAGCUAACGCAUUAAGCACUCCGCCUGGGGAGUACGACCGCAAGGUUGAAACUCAAAGGAAUUGACGGGGACCCGCACAAGCGGUGGAGCAUGUGGUUUAAUUCGAAGCAACGCGAAGAACCUUACCAAAUCUUGACAUCCUUUGACAACUCUAGAGAUAGAGCCUUCCCCUUCGGGGGACAAAGUGACAGGUGGUGCAUGGUUGUCGUCAGCUCGUGUCGUGAGAUGUUGGGUUAAGUCCCGCAACGAGCGCAACCCUUAAGCUUAGUUGCCAUCAUUAAGUUGGGCACUCUAAGUUGACUGCCGGUGACAAACCGGAGGAAGGUGGGGAUGACGUCAAAUCAUCAUGCCCCUUAUGAUUUGGGCUACACACGUGCUACAAUGGACAAUACAAAGGGCAGCGAAACCGCGAGGUCAAGCAAAUCCCAUAAAGUUGUUCUCAGUUCGGAUUGUGGUCUGCAACUCGACUACAUGAAGCUGGAAUCGCUAGUAAUCGUAGAUCAGCAUGCUACGGUGAAUACGUUCCCGGGUCU